rnacentral:sRNA from 1 species
ACCCCGGUAUUAUUGCUGUUAUGGGUUUUAAUCGAGCUUAGCCUUGUUCAUUUUUUUACACAACACCCCCGUAAAAAAUACAACACGGCCCGCUCAAGCCUGCGGUGCCCACGGGAGUCAGCGGGAAAAAAACGCCCCAAAAUGCCCCAAAAAAGCCACUCGGGCGCUUUUUCAGGGCAG